rnacentral:tRNA from 1 species
GGCGGUGUAGCUCAGCGGUAGAGCAGUGGCAUCAUAAGCCAUGGGUCGGGGGUUCGAAUCCCUCCACCGCUACCA